rnacentral:lncRNA from 1 species
GGAGCUGAAGGCAGCAAGACUGGGACAGAAGAAAGACUAUAUCCAUUAGUAAGAAAAGAUGAAGGCCCUAAUCCUGAUUACGGUUGUCUUGACCAUAACUGCUUGCUUCUCUCCAGCUGAAGGACGUAAGAGGAGACACCAUGGAAAACACCAUGAUGACACACACAAUCCAGGACGUGGCGAUCCUUUCAGAGGGCCUAGAGGACCAUGGGGUCCCAGAGGACCACACGGUCCUGGAGGACGUCCUGGUCCAACUCCUCCAGGUGGUUUUUUUGGGACACCAGGUUCACCUGAUGCACAUGAAAGAGAUGGGCAAGGACUGUUCUUCCCACCAGAGAAAUGUGUAAGCAUUUGUCCUCAUGGCCCUGCAAAUGGAGCUCCUGGGAACCCUCCUGGAUCCUCUAUUGCCCCUCCACCUCCCGCUCCCAUCUCCACCAUCACAGCUGUCACCGGGCCUAAAACCACUCCGGCUGCCAAUCCUGAAAGUACAGAUAUUACAGCAACAGCAAUAUACACAGUUACUUAGUUCUGAAUUCACAGAAGGAAAACGUCAAGGCAGGAAAUGAUCAUGCUGAUUAUGAAUACCGUGUGCAUAUCAGCUGACUAUUAAAAAUAAAUCAACGCUCUCUGACUCGAUGGGAAAUAAG